UGAAGGCAGCAGAGUGACAAGGACAGCAAGUAGGCAGAUGGGAAGGUGAUGCUGGGCACGUGCCCACCCACCCACUUGCUCGGACAAUGGGGACUGCCCACCCACCCACUUGGAUGAUGGGAGGUACCUGCCCAUGUGGAUAAAAGAUCUCCCCUGCACUUCUAUAACAGAUGCCACAUUCCUCAGAAUUCUCUCCAUCCUGAACCAAGAACCAAGAUUCUCUCCAUCCUGAGUGAAGCAGAGCUGAUUGAUUGGAGACCAGGACCCGUCCCAGCCUCUCUGAAUUCUACAAUGAAUGUGACAUGCCACAUGAAGUCAGCCUAGUAACAGUGGCCAGCAGAAGUUCCCUACAAGAAAUCAUGCAGCUGUUUCAUUUGGCUCCCAUACAAAUCAGCACUGCAGCUCCUUUUUAAAAGCAAGCCAAAAUGUUC